ACACCCCCAGCAGCUAGCCCCCUACCCAAGAACAACAAACACCAUUAAUAAACCCGCAUGUAUAAUACAGCAAACAACAAACCAUUUUUCCUCCCUAGUAUUG
rnacentral:rRNA from 1 species